UUCUAGUUUAUGGUAAAACCCCAAUUCUAACAGUGAAGCUAAACCCUCCCUAAAUCUCCAAAACCCUACCAAACCAUCCACUUUUUCAAUGGCGAGAUCUCUGACGCAGGUACUCUUGAUUACAGCUAAUCUAUCUUGUUCUUGCAAUUUUUUAUUUGUAUUUCUAGUUUUUAAUUUUUCCUAUUAUUUUUUUCCGUAGUCCAGUCAUGGCGCCGAAUUCUGACAUAUCAGACGCCGUCGCGGUGGUGCUUUGAACAAUCAUCGGAGCCUUCUCAUUUUCUGCUGAAAUCACUACCAGUGCGUAUCAUCAAUUCCCUGUGCUUUCUGUCAUUUUCCUGCUAACUGCAUUCACUGAAUUGUUUGGAUUGGCUUGUUUUGAAGCUAGCGAUCACAGCACCACCUUCACGAUUCCAUUUCAUUUCUAGUAGAAACCCUCAAAAAAUUGUUUGUUUUAGUUUCUAAAGGUCUGUAUAAUGUG
rnacentral:lncRNA from 1 species